CGGGAAUUUCCAUCAUGUGUAUCAACGGAUAUUUCAAAUGAGGAAACUGAAUAUUAGGAAAUCAAAUAAAACGAAAUUUUUACCUACUCCGAUAUUGAUUUCCAAAUUUGGACCUUGCGCAAUCGGACCGGGAUCGCAAUCGGCGGGCAACGGGGUGGUGGAUGACAACUAGCGGUGGAUCGUGGUGGCGAUCUGCUGCAAACGGUGGUUCGGCUUGGACAGCAGCCGAGAUGGUGGACUCACGGUGAUGCCUCGAUGAUUCGAGACAGGUGAUGGCUCACGAGCGGUGGUUGCGACGCGACGCACUUGCGAGGGAACCGCUCACGAUAAGGUGGCUCGCCAA
rnacentral:lncRNA from 1 species